rnacentral:rRNA from 1 species
AAUGCAUAGGAAUCUGCCCGAUAGUGGGGGAUAACCUGGGGAAACCCAGGCUAAUACCGCAUACGUCCUACGGGAGAAAGGGGGCUCCGGCUCCCGCUAUGGGAUGAGCCUAUGUCGGAUUAGCUAGUUGGUGAGGUAACGGCUCACCAAGGCCACGAUCCGUAGCUGGUCUGAGAGGAUGAUCAGCCACAUCGGGACUGAGACACGGCCCGAACUCCUACGGGAGGCAGCAGUGGGGAAUAUUGGACAAUGGGGGCAACCCUGAUCCAGCCAUGCCGCGUGUGUGAAGAAGGCCCUCGGGUUGUAAAGCACUUUCAGCGAGGAAGAACGCCUAGCGGUUAAUACCCGCUAGGAAAGACAUCACUCGCAGAAGAAGCACCGGCUAACUCCGUGCCAGCAGCCGCGGUAAUACGGAGGGUGCAAGCGUUAAUCGGAAUUACUGGGCGUAAAGCGCGCGUAGGUGGCUUGAUAAGCCGGUUGUGAAAGCCCCGGGCUCAACCUGGGAACGGCAUCCGGAACUGUCGAGCUAGAGUGCAGGAGAGGAAGGUAGAAUUCCCGGUGUAGCGGUGAAAUGCGUAGAGAUCGGGAGGAAUACCAGUGGCGAAGGCGGCCUUCUGGACUGACACUGACACUGAGGUGCGAAAGCGUG